rnacentral:tRNA from 1 species
GUCCCGGGUGGCGAGCAGGCGACCUGGGUCGUUCCCACCGGCUCCGGCGUCCAAACGCGCUGGGUCGAGUUCGAGCCCGUCGCCGGGACGC